CUUGCUUCUCUUGAGAGCGGCGGACGGGUGAGUAAUGCCUAGGAAUCUGCCUGGUAGUGGGGGAUAACGUUCGGAAACGGACGCUAAUACCGCAUACGUCCUACGGGAGAAAGCAGGGGACCUUCGGGCCUUGCGCUAUCAGAUGAGCCUAGGUCGGAUUAGCUAGUUGGUGGGGUAAUGGCUCACCAAGGCGACGAUCCGUAACUGGUCUGAGAGGGUGAUCAGUCACACUGGAACUGAGACACGGUCCAGACUCCUACGGGAGGCAGCAGUGGGGAAUAUUGGACAAUGGGCGAAAGCCUGAUCCAGCCAUGCCGCGUGUGUGAAGAAGGUCUUCGGAUUGUAAAGCACUUUAAGUUGGGAGGAAGGGUUGUAGAUUAAUACUCUGCAAUUUUGACGUUACCGACAGAAUAAGCACCGGCUAACUCUGUGCCAGCAGCCGCGGUAAUACAGAGGGUGCAAGCGUUAAUCGGAAUUACUGGGCGUAAAGCGCGCGUAGGUGGUUUGUUAAGUUGGAUGUGAAAUCCCCGGGCUCAACCUGGGAACUGCAUUCAAAACUGACUGACUAGAGUAUGGUAGAGGGUGGUGGAAUUUCCUGUGUAGCGGUGAAAUGCGUAGAUAUAGGAAGGAACACCAGUGGCGAA
rnacentral:rRNA from 1 species